rnacentral:misc_RNA from 1 species
GAUGAAGAACGUAGCGAACUGCGAUAAGUAAUGUGAAUUGCAGAAUUCAGUGAAUCAUCGAGUCUUUGAACGCACAUUGCGCCCCCUGGCAUUCCGGGGGGCAUGCCUGUCCGAGCGUCAUUGCUGCCCUCAAGCACGGCUUGUGUGUUGGGCCUCCGUCCUCCUCCCGGGGGACGGGCCCGAAAGGCAGCGGCGGCACCGCGUCCGGUCCUCGAGCGUAUGGGGCUUCGUCACCCGCUCUUGUAGGCCCGGCCGGCGCUUGCCGACACAUCAAUCUUUUUUCCAGGUUGACCUCGGAUCAGGUAGGGAUACCCGCUGAACUUAAGCAUAUCAAUAAGCGGAGGA